GCGAAGAUCUUCUCCACGUGGAACUGAUUGCCCAGGUCGUAGUUGAUGGAGAAGGAACCUCCGGCGGGCAGGUCGCUGGUGUCCGCCGGGUCGUGGGGCUGAACGGCGCUACCUGUAAGGACGAGGACGCGAUAAGGACCAAUGAGGAGCCUGGAAAGCGUUAUAUGACCGCAAAUCAGCCAAUGAGAAUGAAGAACGUCCCCGGGGCAAGAUGAGGCUAAGCAUGUACUCAACUCCCUCUGCCACUGUUGCCAGAUUAUCGUACUCAGAGUAUCGCAUAUACGGAUUCUUUACAUAUAACUAUUGCCAAAAAGCAGCAAUAAUUUACCAUUUCAGCAAUAACUAUAAAUGAAUCCAGUUAUUGGGGUGGAGAAGACAGUUUUUGGGUAGCAAGUCGGCAAAUGUUAGAGGCUGAGUACGACAAUCUGACACGGUUGCCCUCUGCCCGAAGCCCCACGUGGGAGGCGGCGGAGUGACGAGUGUUGUUUUGAGUGCAAGUUUUACGCGGCGGUGACGGCUGAGUGACGGGCCAUGCAUUCAGAUGUCUUCCUGAAUGCCCCAAGAAGACGAGGUGGUGAAGGGAGCGAGGCAGGCAGCGGAGGACGUGAAGGAGAGGAGGAAGAAGAGGAGGGUGGUGAUGGAGCUGCUGAUGAGAAGGAGAUGGGGGCACAGAUUCAAGGGCCAGCUGGAGGAUCACACUGGGCUAACCUUAACACUGAACUCGACGCUAUGAACUCUGUGCCCUGACUGAACCCUGAAGUGUGGGUCUGGGAUAACCACUACAAGAACCAACAGUAAGGAAAUUGAACACCGAGGAAAAUAAAUAUUACUUGAACUUUGGACUGUAAAAAAACAAUAAAAUAGUCGAGAAACACAAACUAGCAAGACAUAGAAUAGCUAAGUAAUAAAAUAAUGAGAAGGAAAAAGGAAAAAAAUAGGAGAGACGACGAAGGCAGAUCUCCACAGCUUACUACUACUACUACUACUACUACUACUACUACUACUACAACCUCCACUACCACCAAGGCUCCACAUCAGCUCCCCCCAACGUCCGUGUGAAAGGUAAGGAACAUAAUGUAUUUCCUGACCCCCUGACAAACGCAUCUACUAUAUUGCUCUACCGCCCGGGGCCACAAUCUUCGGUAGCGGGGCCAAGGAUGUCGUGAAUGAAUAGCUCUUUACCAUUGUAGUAUUGUAGCGGCGAUAGGACGUCCCUGGGCCAUGAGGGGAGGAAGGGUGCCGCUGGGAAAGUGACGGAGGGUGGGGAGGAAAGCGAGGGAGGGAAUGUGGGGCGAGGAAAGGGCGCUGGGAAAGUGUUCAGGUGGGGAGAGUGUUAGGAAAGAUAUGGAUGGUUGGGAGAAGAGAAGGGGGGAAAGGGGUGAGAAGGGGUGCCUUGAAAGAGGAGCGUGGGGAGAAGAGGGGGUAAAGAAAGGGUUGAGGAAGGGGUGUUAGGAAAGAUAUAGAGGAUGGGGAGAAGAGGAGGAAGGAAAAGGUGAGGAAUGUGUGCUUUGAAAGAGGAAGAUAGGGAGAAGAAGGGGAAGAAAAGGGAUGAUAAAGGGAAGAAAAGGGAAGGAAAAAGAAGAGGAGAGGAAAAAGGAAAAGAGUGAAAAGGGAGCAACAGGAAAGAGAGA